UUAAAGUAGUAAGGGCGCAGGGUGGAUGCCUUGGCACUAAGAGCCGAUGAAAGACGUGAUAAGCUGCGAAAAGCUUCGGGGAGGAGCACAUAUCCAAUGAUCCGGAGAUAUCUGAAUGGGGAAACCCGGCAGAGGAAACCUCUGUCAGCGUGCAGUGAAUACAUAGCUGUACGUGGGGAACCCGGGGAACUGAAACAUCUAAGUACCCGGAGGAAGAGAAAGAAAAUUUAUCGAUUUCCAAAGUAGCGGCGAGCGAAAUGGAAAGAGCCCAAACCGUGAUGCGUGCAUCGCGGGGUUCGGACUGCGUUGUGGCAGACGUAAGAUAGGAGAACGGACUGGGAAGUCCGGCCGGAGAGAGUGAAAGCCUCGUAUCCGAAAUCCCAAGUCGCCUGGCAGGAUCCAGAGUAGGACGAGACACGAGAAACCUUGUCUGAACGAGCGGGGACCACCCCGUAAGGCUAAAUACUUCUUAGUGACCGAUAGCGCAUAGUACUGUGAAGGAAAGGUGAAAAGUACCCCGGGAGGGGAGUGAAAGAGAACCUGAAACCCUGUGUCUACAAGCUGUGGGACCUCUUUAUAUGAGGGACUGCGUACUUUUUGUAGAACGGUCCGGCGAGUUGUGCGUACUGGCGAGGUUAAGGACUUAAGGUCUGGAGCCGAAGUGAAAGCAAGCGUUAAUAGCGCGUCAAGUCAGUGAGUGCAGACCCGAAACCGGGUGACCUAUCCAUGUCCAGGUUGAAGCUUCCGUAAGAGGAAGUGGAGGACCGAACCCACAUCCGUUGAAAAGGGUGGGGAUGAGGUGUGGAUAGCGGAGAAAUUCCAAUCGAACCCGGAGAUAGCUGGUUCUCCUCGAAAUAGCUUUAGGGCUAGCCUCAUGAGAGUCUUAUGGAGGUAGAGCACUGAAUUGCCUAGGGGGCGUCAAAGCUUACCAAAGCAUAUCAAACUCCGAAUGCCAUCAAGAUGAUUCAUGGGAGUCAGACCAUACGAGAUAAGUUGGAUGGUCAAAAGGGAAAGAGCCCAGACCUACAGCUAAGGUCCCAAAGUACGUGUUAAGUGGAAAAGGAUGUGGGGAUUCUAAGACAACUAGGACGUUGGCUUAGAAGCAGCCAUUCAUUGAAAGAGUGCGUAAUAGCUCACUAGUCGAGAGUCCCUGCGCCGAAAAUGUCCGGGGCUGAAACACGACACCGAAGCUUAGGAAUGUGUAAACAUUGGUAGAGGAGCAUUGCUGGCGGGAUGAAGCCAUACCGUAAGGAGUGGUGGACUGCCAGGAAGAGAGAAUGCCGGAAUGAGUAGCGAGAUGAAGGUGAGAAUCCUUCAGGCCGAAUAUCUAAGGUUUCCAGAGUAAAGCUGAUCUGCUCUGGGUAAGUCGGGACCUAAGGCGAGGUCGAAAGACGUAGUCGAUGGAUAACAGGUUGAAAUUCCUGUACCGCAUAUAAACAGAACUGUGGGGACACAGACAGGGAAUGGAAUCCGGGAAUGGAUAUCCCGGUGCAAGCGAGGUAGGAGUGCUGUUGGCAAAUCCGCAGCACGAUCUGAAGACGUGAUGCGUACCGAACAUAAGUAGGGAAGUCCAGGCCCCUGGCUGUCAAGAAAAGCCGCUAUUGUUUUAUAUGUGCCCGUACCGCAAACCGACACAGGUGGAUGAGGAGAGAAUCCUAAGGCCGACGGGAGAAGUAUUGUUAAGGAACUCGGCAAAAUGACUCCGUAACUUCGGGAGAAGGAGUGCCAUGAGAGUGGCCGCAGAGAAAUGGCCCAAGCAACUGUUUAGCAAAAACACAGGUCUAUGCAAAACCGCAAGGUGAAGUAUAUGGGCUGACGCCUGCCCGGUGCUGGAAGGUUAAGGGGAGAGGUUAGCGCAAGCGAAGCUUUGAACUUAAGCCCCAGUAAACGGCGGCCGUAACUAUAACGGUCCUAAGGUAGCGAAAUUCCUUGUCGGGUAAGUUCC
rnacentral:rRNA from 1 species